GCGUCGAGUGCGAAGGAGGGGGCUGGGGGGGAGCUGGCGCCAUCAUCCGAUGCUGGCGAGGGCCCCUUGGUGACCCCCGCGCCGCCCUGUGCUGGCGAAGACCUCGUGCCGGCCGCUGCGCCGACUAGAGUGGGCGCUUCAGUGGAGGCAGGCGAACCGGCUCCCGAAGACCCUGCGGCGACGGCCAGCCCUUUGCAGGUGGCGGAAUAGGGACUAGGGCUAUCGGGUGUAAAAUUUUGUUUUUGUGAUACUGAAACUUGGUUGCUGCGUAGGUUCCGACGUUUGGGCCUAUGCAAGCAACCACUA
rnacentral:lncRNA from 7 species